rnacentral:rRNA from 1 species
GCUUCUGAAGAAUCAUUUGAAGUACUUAGUGGCGGACGGGUGAGUAACGCGUGGGUAACCUGCCUCACACAGGGGGAUAACAGUUGGAAACGACUGUUAAUACCGCAUAAGCGCACAGUACCGCAUGGUACAGUGUGAAAAACUCCGGUGGUGUGAGAUGGACCCGCGUCUGAUUAGCUAGUUGGUGAGGUAACGGCCCACCAAGGCGACGAUCAGUAGCCGGCCUGAGAGGGUGUACGGCCACAUUGGGACUGAGACACGGCCCAAACUCCUACGGGAGGCAGCAGUGGGGAAUAUUGCACAAUGGGGGAAACCCUGAUGCAGCGACGCCGCGUGAGUGAUGAAGUAUCUCGGUAUGUAAAGCUCUAUCAGCAGGGAAGAUAAUGACGGUACCUGACUAAGAAGCACCGGCUAAAUACGUGCCAGCAGCCGCGGUAAUACGUAUGGUGCAAGCGUUAUCCGGAUUUACUGGGUGUAAAGGGUGCGUAGGUGGUUGCGCAAGUCAGAAGUGAAAACUAUGGGCUCAACCCAUAGACUGCUUUUGAAACUGCGUAACUAGAGUGCAGGAGAGGAAAGUGGAAUUCCUAGUGUAGCGGUGAAAUGCGUAGAUAUUAGGAGGAACACCAGUGGCGAAGGCGGCUUUCUGGACUGCAACUGACACUGAGGCACGA